GGCCUUAGACAUGCAAGUCGAGCGGUAGCACAGAGAGCUUGCUCUCGGGUGACGAGCGGCGGACGGGUGAGUAAUGUCUGGGAAACUGCCUGAUGGAGGGGGAUAACUACUGGAAACGGUAGCUAAUACCGCAUAAUGUCGCAAGACCAAAGUGGGGGACCUUCGGGCCUCAUGCCAUCAGAUGUGCCCAGAUGGGAUUAGCUAGUAGGUGGGGUAAUGGCUCACCUAGGCGACGAUCCCUAGCUGGUCUGAGAGGAUGACCAGCCACACUGGAACUGAGACACGGUCCAGACUCCUACGGGAGGCAGCAGUGGGGAAUAUUGCACAAUGGGCGCAAGCCUGAUGCAGCCAUGCCGCGUGUGUGAAGAAGGCCUUCGGGUUGUAAAGCACUUUCAGCGGGGAGGAAGGCGGUGAGGUUAAUAACCUUGUCGAUUGACGUUACCCGCAGAAGAAGCACCGGCUAACUCCGUGCCAGCAGCCGCGGUAAUACGGAGGGUGCAAGCGUUAAUCGGAAUUACUGGGCGUAAAGCGCACGCAGGCGGUCUGUCAAGUCGGAUGUGAAAUCCCCGGGCUCAACCUGGGAACUGCAUUCGAAACUGGCAGGCUAGAGUCUUGUAGAGGGGGGUAGAAUUCCAGGUGUAGCGGUGAAAUGCGUAGAGAUCUGGAGGAAUACCGGUGGCGAAGGCGGCCCCCUGGACAAAGACUGACGCUCAGGUGCGAAAGCGUGGGGAGCAAACAGGAUUAGAUACCCUGGUAGUCCACGCCGUAACGAUGUCGAUUUGGAGGUUGUGCCCUUGAGGCGUGGCUUCCGGAGCUAACGCGUUAAAUCGACCGCCUGGGGAGUACGGCCGCAAGGUUAAAACUCAAAUGAAUUGACGGGGGCCCGCACAAGCGGUGGAGCAUGUGGUUUAAUUCGAUGCAACGCGAAGAACCUUACCUGGUCUUGACAUCCACAGAACUUUCCAGAGAUGGAUUGGUGCCUUCGGGAACUGUGAGACAGGUGCUGCAUGGCUGUCGUCAGCUCGUGUUGUGAAAUGUUGGGUUAAGUCCCGCAACGAGCGCAACCCUUAUCCUUUGUUGCCAGCGGUUCGGCCGGGAACUCAAAGGAGACUGCCAGUGAUAAACUGGAGGAAGGUGGGGAUGACGUCAAGUCAUCAUGGCCCUUACGACCAGGGCUACACACGUGCUACAAUGGCAUAUACAAAGAGAAGCGACCUCGCGAGAGCAAGCGGACCUCAUAAAGUAUGUCGUAGUCCGGAUUGGAGUCUGCAACUCGACUCCAUGAAGUCGGAAUCGCUAGUAAUCGUAGAUCAGAAUGCUACGGUGAAUACGUUCCCGGGCCUUGUACACACCGCCCGUCACACCAUGGGAGUGGGUUGCAAAAGAAGUAGGUAGCUUAACCUUCGGGAGGGCGCCUACCACUUGGGUUCCCCG
rnacentral:rRNA from 1 species